GGUGGCGUGACUGAAGUGCUGGGGGAGUUCCCGCGCUCUUUGGGUCUGUGGAGAAAGCGGCUGAGGGCCGGGCGGGCUGUGCGCCGGUGGUGUAGACGUUGUGUUUCUCUGCAAAAUACGAGCGGUGGUUCUAGUCGAAAGAAGUGAAAUCUAAAUCUUGCAGUCUUGUAAUCUGAAGCUUGUCAUCUUAUUUUCAUAAUAGAACCAGGGUAGUGGAUUUCAAAUCUGGUUAUUUGGUACCUCUGGUUACUUUCAUAAAACAAAGUUACUGAAAGGCUAAAGGAUGGAUCUGAACUAACGGUAAACAACAGCAACCCUCUCUUCAGAACACCGUUACUGCCUACCUAGGUAGGUUGUACCAUGCAAGACUGCAAGUGUAUACUACAUGCUCAACUGGGGUUCUUGUGGUUGAGAACUUUAAUAGCUGCAGCACAUUAAGGAAAUGAAGGAAGAAAAACAAGAAUCUCUAUCUUACUAACUAAACCACACCCAUGCUUUGAGUUGCACAGAAGGGGAAACAAUGCAUGUCAGCUGAUGAUUGAGUAACUGCUGAUCUAACCAAGAGAAGUUGCUCCACCUGCUGAAAAGAACGUUCUACUUAAAAGGGCUGUGCUUCCAGCGUGAUAGUUUCUGAAGGUCUCCUGAGUUCAGCUAGGCAACUGAUUGAAUCAGUUAUACAGAAUCUUUGUCAGGAACACCAGUUCAUUUGCAUGCAUUUGUGCCAAAGCAGUCACUGAAAUCAAAGUUUAGCUGUCCUAGUUCAGACUUCAGCAGUAGUCUUCUACAAAUCGGCCCUUAAACAUAAGGAGCUGUGGCAGUUUGACAUAAUUAAGCGACCUUACCUCAUUGGAUCAGAAACCUGAGGAGUUAUGAGAGCAGUCAGCUUCCUCGUU